rnacentral:rRNA from 1 species
UACGUAGGGUGUGAGCGUUGCCCGGAUUUAUUGGGCGUAAAGGGCGCGUAGGCGGCCCGCUAAGUCGAACGUGAAAUCCCCAGGCUCAACCUGGGAACUGCGUCCGAUACUGGCAGGCUUGAAUCCGGGAGAGGGAUGUGGAAUUCCAGGUGUAGCGGUGAAAUGCGUAGAUAUCUGGAGGAACACCGGUGGCGAAGGCGGCAUCCUGGACCGGUAUUGACGCUGAGGCGCGAAAGCUAGGGGAGCAAACGGG